GUGCCCGUGUCGACAGCACAUAUACUCAAAUUGGAAGAUACAGAGAAGAUUAGCAUGGCCCCUGCGCAAGGAUGACACGCAGAUUUGUGAAGCGUUCCAUAUUUUU
ensembl:snRNA U6 U6 spliceosomal RNA